rnacentral:lncRNA from 1 species
UUAAUGUUAUUGGUGAGUAAAACUUGUGUAUUUGGAUACCUUUUCCUCCCUUCUUGAAACAGAUUGAUCUGUGAUAAAAGUUCCAAUUUUUAUAAGGAUUGAAUAUCUGAUAGUUGAAAAUCAAAUGCAAGUGUUGGACUCUAGUUUACUACAUAUAUGGCCUGCAUCUUCUCCUGAUAAUUGAAACAUAUAUCCUUUUGUUGUUAUGAUCAGGAUGGUUGGGAUUCCAUAUUAAGGAUCACCUUGAUCAAGAGUAAGCUGAGGCUGAGCAUUGGUCAUAAACUGUGAGAUUGAUGAGAAUUAAAUAUCUGUAUCACCAAUAUCCAUCUGUGGCCAAUUCAGUAGGUUCUUUGGACCCGUUUUAGUUGUGAAUUGUUUGCAUCGUACAAAUGAGGAUUUAUAACCAUGACAGGCUGUGUUUCUCAAGCAUUUACUGCCUUUGGUCUUCGUUAUUGUAUUCUUCAAUGUUGAUAUCCUACAAGUAAGAAAAUGGUGAUCUUUAAAAUGGAGCAUUUCAAUUUUUUGUACCAACUUUUUAAAUGUUAUAGUAAGAAGGAUUUUGAUGAAU